rnacentral:lncRNA from 1 species
UUGUGUUGUGCUGUGUGUGUAGUUGCAUUUCACUCAUUCUCAUUGCUUUAGAGUGUUCCAUAGGUGAAUAUAUCACAAUUUUGUUGACAGAAGCCACUUGGGUAAUUUCUAGUUAGGGUCUGUUAUGAAGAGUGUUUCUAUAAAUACUCCUGUACACAGUUUUUGGUGAACCUAUGUGCACUUUUUUGUUGGCUCAUAUAAUGUAGGACUGGAAUUGCUGAGUCAUAAAAUGCUCAUUUAACUGAGUACUUCCAACUAAUUUUUGAGCAUGUUUAUACCAAUUUAUACUCCCACCAACAAGGUAAAAGAGUUCUACAUCCUUUUCAACCGUUGAUAUUUUCUGUUUUAUGUUUCAUAUUUUUAUUUUAGCCACAGUGAUGGCAAACAUAUCUUUAUUAAAGAGACAGAUGGUCAGAAAAAUCCCUGGCCUGUUACCUUAAGUGAACUUGAUUUUGGCAAUGUUAGCUAGUUCAUUCUCUCUUAAUGAAAUGAAUCUAGGACAGACUGAGUGCAUUCAUCCACUGAAGUUCUUCAGAAGUGAAUGAUCACCCAGUCCUCUUCCACCCACAACCAAACACAAAUGAUCUCAGCUCACAGUUACCAAGGCCUCCUGAGAAAGCAGUUUUUGCCAAGAGCUGCUUGGAAGAGAUACUCAAAAUGA